ACCAAUGACAAAGGGACAGUACCUGCCGA
rnacentral:piRNA from 1 species